AAUAUUUGUCAAUGGACGCCAGUCUGAACCAGCCAUGCCGCGUGAAGGAUGAAGGCCUUCUGGGUUGUAAACUUCCUUUACCUGGGUAGAAACCUCAAUUUUCUAAUUGAGUUGACGGUACCAGCAGAAUAAGUACCGGCCAACUCCGUGCCAGCAGCCGCGGUAAUACGGAGGGUGCAAGCGUUAUCCGGAUUUACUGGGUUUAAAGGGUGUGUAGGCGGGCUUUUAAGUCAGUGGUGAAAUCUCCGGGCUCAACCUGGAAACUGCCAUUGAUACUAUUAGUCUUGAAUUUUGUUGAGGUAGGCGGAACAAGUCAUGUAGCGGUGAAAUGCAUAGAUAUGACUUAGAACACCAAUUGCGAAGGCAGCUUGCUAAACAAACAUUGACGCUGAGGCACGAAAGCGUGGGGAUCAAAC
rnacentral:rRNA from 1 species